CAGCAGCCGCGGUAAUACGGAGGGGGCUAGCGUUGUUCGGAAUUACUGGGCGUAAAGCGCACGUAGGCGGCUUUGUAAGUCAGAGGUGAAAGCCCGGGGCUCAACCCCGGAAUUGCCUUUGAGACUGCAUCGCUUGAAUCCAGGAGAGGUGAGUGGAAUUCCGAGUGUAGAGGUGAAAUUCGUAGAUAUUCGGAAGAACACCAGUGGCGAAGGCGGCUCACUGGACUGGUAUUGACGCUGAGGUGCGAAAGCGUGGGGAGCAAACAGGAUUAGAUACCCCUGUAGUCCCUGUCUCUUAUAC
rnacentral:rRNA from 1 species